CCCAAACCAGGAGCAUCGUUACAGCCAUGGAGCCAAAAACAGCAAUGUGGACACUCAUUGGGCGGCAUGUACCCUAAGUUUUACGCAGGAGAUGCAGCAUUUUGCCUCCGAUAGCAACAAUGCAACGUCCGCAGUUGGACGGCGCAUGGUUAGGUGUCUCUAAUAUCGUUGCAACGACAAGAUGAUAUGCUAACGUGACUUCGUAAAGCUACAGAAAGAAUAGAAAUGAAACACAUGGAACACAAGUAAUGUCCAGUGCAUAUAACACAGCUUCGAAAAAUAUUUGACGAUGCAGAGCUGGACGGCUACCCCUAUCAACCCUAAAUGAUGAAAGGGGAGGAGGAGCUCGAUCGCAAGCUCCCACUCCAAAACACGGC
rnacentral:sRNA from 2 species